CAGUAGCCGCGGUAAUACGAGGGGGGCAAGCGUUGUUCGGAAUUAUUGGGCGUAAAGGGUGCGUAGGCGGUUUGAUAAGUCUGUUGUGAAAUCCCCGGGCUCAACCUGGGAAUGGCAAUGGAUACUGGCAAGCUAGAGUGUGUCAGAGGAUGGUGGAAUUCCCGGUGUAGCGGUGAAAUGCGUAGAGAUCGGGAGGAACAUCAGUGGCGAAGGCGGCCAUCUGGGACAACACUGACGCUGAGGCACGAAAGCGUGGGGAGCAAACAGGAUUAGAUACCCCCGUAGUCCCUGUCUCUUAUAC
rnacentral:rRNA from 1 species